CCAAGCGGUGCCAUCAACCCAGUAUCUUUAUUCAGUCCAGGACUUUUAGAGUCUAGCAAAGUUAUGAAUUUCAACUCCCAGGCCCGUCUUUUUGAAAAUGUUGUGCAGGAUGAGGGCUGAUAGAUCGCAUACAAGAGUGAUUGCUCUGUGAGAAGUGCUCGCCCACAGAUGAUGCCAGGGGAGGUGCACCGUUCCUGGAGGUACUGCAAUACCAGCUCGAUGUGGGGCGUGGAUGGAGCAAGCUCCCAUUCCGUCUCCCUGGCAGAGCAGAGCUCAGUACAUCCAGAAAGGAGAAGAUCCCCAUACCAGAGAAGAGAAGUUGGGUUCCGUUUCCACUGCCUUAUUGUGUGAUGUGCUGGAGAGCUGCUUAUCCCUGUUCCUGGGCUGCAUGCACUCUGAAUAUAAAUCUGUCUCUGAGGCGAUUAGAAUCCAAAGAGCUUCCGAGGGGCAGGUCUGCUCUAGCUCUGUGGGGAAGAGACCGAGACUGUUAAGACUCUGGGGGUUCCCACUUUGAUACUUAAGUAUUGAAAAUGUGCCACUUAGUGGGGAGGGGCUGUCAUCUUAAAGCUUCCUUUGCCUUUCCCUCCCUUCCUUUCGCUGCCUCUCAGACUAGGUAAAGCUGCAACAAUGGCUUCCUAGAUCUUAAGGGCAGCAGGGACAAUGGGAUCAUUUGAUCUGACCGCCUGUGUAACACAGGCCACAGAAUUUCAUCCAUUUCCCCCUGUACAGCGCCAAAUAACGCGUUGGACUAUGUUGGCAUGCAGGCCUGAUGGCGGGAGAGAGGGAGAAUACAGCACUGCCCCCAGUAGUUCCUUCCCAUGGGGCACCAAUGAACAUGCCAAAGCUAUCAACUCUGUCACGUGGGACCCUGCGGACUUAGGCGCUUGUCUACAUGGGAAUAGUUCCUGCCAUGGCCAGAAGGGAAUAGCUCUGGAAGCGGAGUUGUAAUUUUUGGGAAAAAAGUUGCUUUUAUUUGGAACAG